rnacentral:lncRNA from 1 species
GUGUGUGUGUGUGUGUGUGUGUGUGUGUGCGUGCCUGCGUGCGUGCGUGCGUGCAUGUGUGCGUGUGUGCGUGUGUAAGAAGAGUGUAUUUGAAGAGUGUGUGAAAAGUAGAGAUGGAGAGAGACAGUUGGGUGAGAGAUGGAGAGAGACAGUUGGGUGAGAGAUGGAGAGAGACAGUUGGGUGAGAGAUGGAGAGAGACAGUUGGGUGAGAGGAGAGAUGGAGAGAGACAGUUGGGUGAGAGAUGGAGAGAGACAGUUGAGUGAGAGAUGGAAAGAGACAGUUGGGUGAGAGAUGGAGAGAGACAGUUGAGUGAGAGAUGGAACGAGACAGUUGGGUGAGAGAUGGAGAGAGACAGUUGGGUGAGAGAUGGAGAGAGACAGUUGGGUGAGAGGAGAGAUGGAGAGAGACAGUUGGGUGAGAGAUGGAGAGAGACAGUUCGGUGAGAGAUGGAGACAGACAGUUGGAGGAGAGAUGGAGAGAGACAGUUGGGUGAGAGAUGGAGAGAGACAGUUGGGUGAGAGGAGAGAUGGAGAGAGACAGUUGGGUGAGAGAUGGAGAGAGACAGUUGAGUGAGAGGAGAGAUGGAGAGAGACAGUUGGGUGAGAGAUGGAGAGAGACAGUUGGGUGAGAGAUGGAGAGAGACAGUUGGGUGAGAGAUGGAGAGAGACAGUUGGGUGAGAGGAGAGAUGGAGAGAGACAGUUGGGUGAGAGAUGGAGAGAGACAGUUGGGUGAGAGAUGGAGAGAGACAGUUGAGUGAGAGAUGGAAAGAGACAGUUGGGUGAGAGAUGGAGAGAGACAGUUGAGUGAGAGAUGGAACGAGACAGUUGGGUGAGAGAUGGAGAGAGACAGUUGGGUGAGAGAUGGAGAGAGACAGUUGGGUGAGAGGAGAGAUGGAGAGAGACAGUUGGGUGAGAGAUGGAGAGAGACAGUUCGGUGAGAGAUGGAGACAGACAGUUGGGUGAGAGCAGAGAUGGAGAGAGACAGUUGGGUGAGAGGAGAGAUGGAGAGAGACAGUUGGGUGAGAGAUGGAGAGAGACAGUUGAGUGAGAGGAGAGAUGGAGAGAGACAGUUGGGUGAGAGAUG